rnacentral:rRNA from 1 species
UACGUAGGUGGCAAGCGUUAUCCGGAUUUACUGGGUGUAAAGGGCGUGUAGGCGGGGAAGCAAGUCAGAUGUGAAAACCACGGGCUCAACCUGUGGCCUGCAUUUGAAACUGUUUUUCUUGAGUACUGGAGAGGCAGACGGAAUUCCUAGUGUAGCGGUGAAAUGCGUAGAUACUAGGAGGAACACCAGUGGCGAAGGCGGUCUGCUGGACAGCAACUGACGCUGAGGCGCGAAAGCGUGGGGAGCAAACAGG